rnacentral:rRNA from 1 species
ACGCUGGCGGCGUGCCUAACACAUGCAAGUCGAACGGAGUUGACCCUUCGGGGUUAACUUAGUGGCGAACGGGUGAGUAACGCGUGAGAAACCUGCCUCUCAGUGGGGGACAACAGUUGGAAACGACUGCUAAUACCGCAUGACACUUUAGUACCGCAUGGUACAGAAGUCAAAGCUUUAUGUGCUGAGAGAUGGUCUCGCGUCUGAUUAGCUAGAUGGCGGGGUAACGGCCCACCAUGGCGACGAUCAGUAGCCGGUCUGAGAGGAUGAACGGCCACAUUGGGACUGAGAUACGGCCCAGACUCCUACGGGAGGCAGCAGGUGGGGAAUAUUGGGCAAUGGGGGAAACCCUGACCCAGCAACGCCGCGUGAAGGAAGAAGGCCUUCGGGUUGUAAACUUCUUUUACCAGGGACGAAGAACGUGACGGUACCUGGAGAAAAGCAACGGCUAACUACGUG